rnacentral:sRNA from 13 species
GCCGGGCAUGGUGGCUCAUGCCUGUAAUCCAAACACUUUGGGAGGCUGAGGUGGGUGGAUCACCUGAGAUCAGGAGUUCAAGACCAGCCUGACCAACAUGGUGAAACCCCAUUUCUA